GUGAGCCCCUUAACUACCCUGCCUUCCCCCUUCCCACUUCCCCCAAUUGGAGCAGCCUGUGUAAUAUCUCCAGCAGAAGAUUACUCCUGUUCCUCUCUUCUAAGAGAUGUUUUUGACCCAGCCGGCAUGCAGGGAGGUUUGGAAGCCUUCAGGGCCAUCUUUAGAAAUGUGGGAAAGCAUAAUGACAAAGCUUUUAAUUUCCAGCAAGAAAAGACCACUGGCAGAGAAAGCAGUUAACAAGAAUAACCACAUAAGAGUAGAAUACCAGCUGCUCACACUUCAAGGAAGAUAAAUCUCAUCGUAAACCAAGGCCAGAGGUGACAGGAUCACAUCAAUAACAAAUCUGGCCCCCUCAUCCAAUGUUCUAUCUGCGCAUACUUUCUCAGUUCAUCAUCUUUGGCAUUCAUGCCUCCAGAAGCACUUCUGAGAAGAAAAGCAUAGAAUAUGAUGAGGCUGCUCAUUUUAUCUGCCCUGAAGACUUUAAAAAUAAAACUUAAGGGAGCAGCUUGUUUAUCGUUCA
rnacentral:lncRNA from 1 species